UGGUUUGUAGGCAGUGUAGUUAGCUGAUUGUGAGGUUUCCUUGGCAAUCACUAGCUUUACUGUCAUCAAAACA
ensembl:miRNA aca-mir-34c aca-mir-34c